UUCAUGUGGUAUACCUACAUAAUAGAGAGUGAGCCCAUGUUUUUCAGAUGGUAAAGGCCAUGUUUGUCAACAUCUACCAUCAAUGAUUAGUUUACCGCCAAGAAUAUUCAGAUAACGAGAAACCUUGGUUUGGAGGAGCAAUGAUAUCUUUACUUAGACAUGAGAAGAUUACUAUGUACAUUUUAUCAAGCAUGCUUCUGUUGGUGUGAGAGUGACAUUUAUUUAUCAUGACCCUAUUGUGACAAGUGAAGAUUAGUAAAGAAUUUUCUUCAGACCACUCUUUCUAGCAGGUUAAGUAUAUUCCAGUAGGAAUGUAGGAUAAAACGAUCCUUGUGUAUUGUAUUAAUUAAUUUUCUUAAGGGCUUAACAUUGGCAUUUUAAAGUGCAUUUGUACUUUGUACAAAAAUAAAACUGUAUCUGCAAUUCUGCACUGUGUAUUUUUUUGGGGUUGUU